UACGAAGGGGGCUAGCGUUGUCCGAAGUUACUGGGCGUAAAGCGCGCGUAGGCGGGUUGGUAAGUCCGCUGUGAAAGCCCGGAGCUUAACUCCGGAGGGUCGGUGGAUACUGCCAGUCUUGAAGGUGCUAGGGGGAGAUGGAAUUACCGGUGUAGCGGUGAAAUGCGUAGAUAUCGAGAGGAACACCUGCGGCGAAGGCGGGUUGCUGGGCUGACACUGACGCUGAUGCGCGAAAGCCAGGGGAGCGAACGGG
rnacentral:rRNA from 1 species